GAUGAACGCUGGCGGCGUGCCUAAUACAUGCAAGUCGAGCGAACAGAUAAGGAGCUUGCUCCUUUGACGUUAGCGGCGGACGGGUGAGUAACACGUGGGUAACCUACCUAUAAGACUGGAAUAACUCCGGGAAACCGGGGCUAAUGCCGGAUAACAUUUAGAACCGCAUGGUUCUAAAGUGAAAGAUGGUUUUGCUAUCACUUAUAGAUGGACCCGCGCCGUAUUAGCUAGUUGGUAAGGUAACGGCUUACCAAGGCAACGAUACGUAGCCGACCUGAGAGGAUGAUCAGCCACACUGGAACAGAGACACGGUCCAGACUCGUACGGGAGGCAGCAGUAGGGAAUCUUCCGCAAUGGGCGAAAGCCUGACGGAGCAGCGCCGCGCGAGUGAUGAAGGUCUUCGGAUCGUAAAACACUGUUACUAGGGAAGAACAAAUGUGGAAGUAAAUGUGCACGUCUUGACGGUACCUAAUGAGAAAGCCACGGCUAACUACGUG
rnacentral:rRNA from 1 species